GGCAAUGUGGCUCAGCGGUACAGUGCUUGCCUAGCAUGCACGAAGCCCUGGGUUCAAUUCCUCAUUACCA
rnacentral:tRNA from 1 species